CGAGUACUUUAUCAUAGAUCUAUCACUUGAGUACUGUACUAAAACGUAUAGCCAUAAAAAAGCGUGGCGCGACUCAGCAACAAGGCAUCACCACCUCGAUGGACGAUGAAGUUCAAACUUGUAUUUUCUGGUACAAUUUUAAGUCUUAUUACCAAUCGUGAAAUGUGCUGCGUGUGUGGCGUCAGACCCCCGUAACUGCCAUUUCGUACCCCACUACUAGUUGAUAAAGGACAGGCUGUUGCGAGUGUCGUAUAAUUACGAAGCUGUCAGCCGUGGACAGAACGUUAAAACCACGAUGUUCCUGGGCGGUCUUUGGUUGGCAGACGGUAUUUGGUGGUGCGUCGAUCAAUCUUCCAAGAUGAUAAAUGAACGUGGAGAUAUAAUCGCGUAAGAGGAAAGAGUCGAUUGUCGAGUGCGUAAUUCAAAGCUGUUGCGUUACCUUUGUAAAAGUUGCUCCGACAUACGUAUCGGGGUUUUUCUGUUAAUCGGAGAUGCCAUUGAAGUUACAAAAAAGGGUGCAAAAAAUGGGCAGACGGUAGGGGACGGAGCAAGGAAUGAUGGCGUCGUACUGUAACAGAUCGUGGUAAGUCAGAUAGAAACGGUAGGAGAUAGAAGGAAGAAUAGGUGGCGGAAGCUUUAACCCGAAUUCGGAGUGUUCUACUGGCAAUAAAGAAAAUAUAAUGAAGCAGCAAGCGGCGGAUCGUAACUCGUUGUACCUGUGAGUCUGUCACCCAGUCGCCAACUAAGCCACAGUGUAGUGUCACCCGCCGCGGUUUUUGGCAUUUUCCCCUGAGCAUCUUCUUUCAUCUCUCUUGCCGGCGUCCGUUUUUCCCAUCCCCAAUCUAGGGCCCCAGGACGUCUUCUUCGGUGAACUCGAAUAGAGAAUAGACAAUCCUCGGCCCUUAGUGCUGGAUCUCUCUAAGGUGGGGUGAUGAGGCAGGUAAUCGGUGGUGUAGGUAAGACCGGUAAACGAGAUCUUUAAAAGGGUAUGGAGAGGUCUUUAUACAAUUCAGCGUGCUCUCUAUUCGGUCUGUCUCCCUUUCCUUCAACUUCUUUCGUCCUUCGACCAGCAUCCUUCCUUAAUGUUGGGACUCUUCUACUGAUCGUCUUGCCAAGAUACUAUGGUAGAAUGCGGCAUCAUGCUUUGUAGAAAGCUUAUCCCCGAGAGCGAGAUACAUAGCAAAUGGCUGAGGGAGGAUAAGCAGGAGAAACUCCGAAGACCACUAAUAAACCAGAAGACUGCAUCCUGAAGGCAGGAAGCGAAGAGCAGAGAGGAGAUAGGAAGGAGGUAGGAAGAGAUUAGAAUUCUUCACAUUAGAAGUAACUACCAUGGUACAAAUACAUACUGUACUGUACAGUAUCUCGCGGACUUCUGGACCUUUUUGAUCUCUUUCUUUCACUCAAUAUCCGACGACUUCCACAACCCACAACAAGCGAUGAUCGAUGAUGGCGACACAAUAAGCCGUUGUUCGAUUCAAGUCGUGGGUUGUAAUACAGUCAGGAAAAGUAAAGGGAGUACGACUGGAUGCGGCCUGGCCAAGGAAGAAAAGAA
rnacentral:sRNA from 1 species